GUUACUGCCUAAUUCUCAAAGAUCUUUUAGCAGGACAAAAUGCUGCGACAGAGCAACUUCUUUGCCACUUGAUGUUAAAAUUGAAUUUACAACAAAGCUUUUAUAUUAGUUCAUCAAAAGGUUAUGUGCAUGCAGGAAACACAUGGCUUGUUUAUCCUUCUGCUCUUCCCAUGGUUUCUGCUUAUAUCGGUGCCUCUCAAACAAAGGAAUUGACUAUUACAGUGGUGUGUCCUACAAACAAUAUUGGUCGUGUUAUUGACAAAGAACUCCUGCUAUGGCAUUAUUAGAUUUUUUGCUCAUGUUCAUCGCUAGAUGACUUUGAUAUCGUUUUUUAUGAAGAACGAACUUGAUCCGAAUUUUUUUGUGAAAUGUUUUUUGUCUUUUG